GAUGAACGCUGGCGGCGUGCCUAAUACAUGCAAGUCGAGCGAACAGACGAGGAGCUUGCUCCUUUGACGUUAGCGGCGGACGGGUGAGUAACACGUAGGUAACCUACCUAUAAGACUGGGAUAACUUCGGGAAACCGGAGCUAAUACCGGAUAAUAUUUCGAACCGCAUGGUUCGAUAGUGAAAGAUGGCUUUGCUAUCACUUAUAGAUGGACCUGCGCCGUAUUAGCUAGUUGGUAAGGUAACGGCUUACCAAGGCAACGAUACGUAGCCGACCUGAGAGGGUGAUCGGCCACACUGGAACUGAGACACGGUCCAGACUCCUACGGGAGGCAGCAGUAGGGAAUCUUCCGCAAUGGGCGAAAGCCUGCCGGAGCAACGCCGCGUGAGUGAUGAAGGUCUUCGGAUCGUAAAACUCUGUUAUUAGGGAAGAACAAACGUGUAAGUAACUGUGCACGUCUUGACGGUACCUAAUCAGAAAGCCACGGCUAACUACGUG
rnacentral:rRNA from 1 species